GGUCCUGUGUGGCUGUUGGUAGAGCAUGGUGUUUGCAACGCCAGGGUUGUGGGUUCAAUUCCCACGGGGGACCA
rfam:Salmo salar isolate Sally breed double haploid chromosome ssa19, whole genome shotgun sequence.